rnacentral:pre_miRNA from 1 species
AACGUACUCCCUCCGUCCGGAAAUACUUGUCGGAGAAAUGCAUAAAAAUAGAUGUAUCUAGAACUAAAAUACAUCUAGAUACAUCCAUUCCUCCGACAAGUAUUUCCGGACGGAGGGAGUACAAA